rnacentral:lncRNA from 10 species
GCCUCCCGCGGCCCACCCCCAUCCUCCCUCCCCGAAGGCAGAAUUGGGAAGGCCCUGAUUCCGGGGCGGUAGCUUCGUCCAGGGAGCCUCUGGAGUUGCGCUCCCUUGAAGUUAUACUGGGACGUUGAAAAGGAGAAAAGGGCGCACAGCCAGACUGUCCAGUCCUCCCCACCCCCACCGCACAAGCUGCGGUGGCGUGGCAGGCCCUGGCACAGGAGUGGCCCUUGCCGUCUGCCGCAGUCGUCUGUUCAAACCAGUAUUCACCGAGCACCUACCAUGUGCCAGGUCGGAGCCACAGUGCUGGGGAAAUCAUAGUUGACAAGAUGGACAAGGUUUCUGUCCUUCGUGAAGCUUACAGCCUUGUAAAAAUGGGAAUCAAAAAAGGAAGGGGCUGGGCGCAGUGUCUCACGCCUGUAAUCCCAGCACUUUGAGAGGCCGAAGUGGGCGGAUCAUUUAAGAAGAAGACAGCUGUCCUGUUGUGAGGGCACUCAAGGACCCCUGUGAGGAGGCCCACAUGCUGAAAAACUGAAGCUGCCUGCCAACAAUCAGCACUAACGUGCUCGGUGUGUGCUGAGCCAUACUGGAAUCACUUCUGCCAGCCUCAGUCAAGCCUUCAGAUAAUGCAGCCUCAGCUGAGAUCUUGACUGCAACUUCAUGAGAGAUCUUGAGCUAGAGCCACUCAGUGAAGCUGCUUCUAGG